ACUGACCGUGCCAUAAAAAUAAAUAAUGUAUUUUGAGUAGAUUGUUAUAUUCACAGAUAUAUUAGAGAGAUCGUACACAUAACUGGGGGAGAGGGAAGGAUAAAUAAAGUUUUGAUGCAUCUUUUAUUGACUCACUAUGAAAUAGUGCAUUCCUAGAUGAGUUCAAUAUAAUUUACAAAGCUGAAAGAAAGUAUAUCUUUAUGUUAUUGAUUUAGAUGUUUAAGUUCUAAUGUUAUUAGUAGGACAGACUAAAUUUUUCAAGUAAUAAUGAGAAUUGGCUGUGUACCAUAGUUACAGUUAUUACCUUAGUAAUGCAUUGCUACUGGGCUACUCAGAUGUUAACUAUUUUUUCCAUGAAGAUAGACAUAUUUGAAAAUUUUGCCUUCAGUAAUAAGAAAAAAAUAUAUAUUAAAAAACCCUAUGAUGCCUUAUUUUUAAUAAUAAUUUACUUUUUGCCAAUAAUAGUGUAUUACACAGUUUCUGAUAGUUCUGUGAUUCUGUGAAACCCAUCAGAAUAAUACAUUUUCUGGUGAAACUACUGGAAAUGUUGUGUCAGGAACUGGUGGUAAAAGCUGUAACAUGCUUAUAAGUAGAUUACCUUAAAGGUAAAAAUGUUAAAAAAAAAUAAUAAAAAAGAGUAAAGGAAUCUCUCCGGCUUUCAGUCCAGCUUUGUUUAAAAGUGAAGCUUAACUUUAAAGUUACCAUUGCCCUUUGACCAAGCUAUAGCAGUUGGAGUUCAGAGUGAAAAUGCUUUCUGAUUAGAGUCUAAUAAUUGUCUUUUUACAGCAGUGAAGAAAAUGCUGAAGAAAAAACCUAAGUAUUAAUCCACAAACUGCAUCUGGGCACUGGUUCAAGACCUGACAGUCUAAGUUCUACUCUUGCCUCUAACCUGUGCUUAGUGUGAAAUGUGAGCAAUAAUUACUUCCUGCACUGCAAAGUUAUUGAGAAGUUUCAAGGCAUACAGUUCUGGGUGAUGAGAAGCAAAACUGAAUGAGUAGAAGAAAUGUGAUCAGAAAAACAAUGAGAGCAUGCCUUGAUCUGUUUGCAGAGAAAAGGAAGAGAGCAGUUCAGAGAAGAGUAUGACUUGAUGAGUCAGAUGAAGUUAGGACCUAACAAGAUGGUGCACUGAAAGGCUUAUUUAGGAGCUGUAAGAAGCUGGACUUAAUCUUACAGGAUUCCAAGUAUCCUUGCUGAGCUUCUGAGUAUUCCUAAUUUAUAGGAAUAUAUAUCAAAGGAAAGAGCAUAUUAACAGCAUAAGCUAAACGAUAUGCAGAUUUGUAAGACUUUCAGGGAACAAGCAGCUCAUGCUGUAAAGUUCUUAGAUCUUAUAUUGAAGACAGAUAUUUAAAAGCAUUGAUUAAUGAGAGAAUAAUAAUUGCUCUAGAUGAAAACAUGAAAUAUUUAACAACAUCCAGGCAGAUCACACUCAAUGUAUUUCUUGUAAACAAAACAAUCAAAUUUUAAAAGUAAAUAGAAACAUUCUUUUAGGCAAAGCUGUAGAAAUAGCUGAAUAAAUACAGCAUAAGAAAUAAGCAAUUGAUGUUUCAAACUGUACUUUGUAACAUUUUAGACCCAUCUUCCAUUAGGAGAAUGAUAAACAUUCUUUGAAGUUACUACUAUACCUUCGUUACAGUUGUAAUGUAUUACAUUUAAUAAAAUACAGUAUCUUUUUACCCUUUGAUUUUAGUCCACAAAGAGUUUCAUAGAAUAUAUAGAGAUAGAAAAUGACUCAACUACUUAUCUUUGUAUGAUUCUAAUUUUGCCUAGAACUGGAUAGAAUAUAGUAUUUUAUUUCUUGUGUAAUUUUGGCAUUUAAAAGUGCGCUUUUCUUCCAAUACUCAAAAAAAAAAAUAAAAUUGUUUUUGCAUUGUGAAAUUCCAGAAUACUUUUAUGUAGAUAUAUUGAAGUUAACUUUUAGAAAACAUUAGCAUAUUUAUUUUUGGGGUAGUAAAUAUAAAUAAUGUAAACCAUUUUAUGUGGGUAUUGAACAGAGUUUUCAUGUUGCUCAUUUUUUUGUCCCCCUCCUUUUUUUUGUCCUUCAAGAUAAAUAUAGCAAAGUUUAAAGCCAGGUAUUCUACUGCUAUUUAGUUGCAUAAAAAUACAACUUAUGUUUUAUAGCAAAUCUUUUGCUUUUCUAGGAAACUGAAAAUACCAAAAGAAGCCUUGUCCAGUCAUUAUGAUGUGAGAUUCCAGUAGACUUAUUGAUGGUGUCUACUGAGAAACAUGUAUUUAUUCUUCUAAAGCCUCCAUCAAGAGACAGAAGAAAAUAUAUUUUAGAUUUUCAUAUCAUGGAUAUAUUUGUUUAGCAAAUUCACAACUUUACUUCAGAAGUGAUGCACACAUAUUCAGUAUAAGCAUUGAGCUUUCAAAGGACUUCAAAUGAAUUUCCAAAUUCAAUGAAAAUUUUGUCUGAUAUUCACCAUGCUUAAAAAUUUUGAAGGUUUAAAAAAAAGAAAGGAAUUAAUUGAAAACUUUUAUCAAAAAGCUGUUUUAGAAGAGAACCUUGGCAGUCUAAAGAUGGUAUUAGUAAAUUCACACAUCAGCAUUCUGCUGAUUUAAGCAGAGGAAAAAUAAAGAUAAAAUUAUAUCCAAUGUGAGUGUAAAGUAGCAACCAGAUUGUGAGCUGACAUUGCAGAGAUAUAUAAAAAAAGGCCUAAACAUUCUGAAUUUAAUUCCAGCUAUCACAAAUUAGGCUAUGCCAGAGUUGUACCAAGAGAGAGAAAAAUAUGUUUUCUACAACCUGCCUUUUAUUUUGAAGAUUCUGCAAUCUAAGUCCCAGAUAAGCAAUAUAAUAAACCUGAA